UACAGAGGUCUCAAGCGUUGUUCGGAUUCAUUGGGCGUAAAGGGUGCGUAGGCGGCGCGGUAAGUCGGGUGUGAAAUCUCGGAGCUUAACUUCGAGCCUGCGUUCGAUACUGGGUAGCUAGAGUCUGGUAGGGGGAUCUGGAAUUCCUGGUGUAGCGGUGGAAUGCGCAGAUAUCAGGAGGAACACCGGUGGCGAAGGCGGGAUCCUGGGCCAGUACUGACGCUGAGGAGCGAAAGCGUGGGGAGCAAACAGG
rnacentral:rRNA from 1 species